rnacentral:lncRNA from 1 species
ACUCAAGCAACCCCUUAUUUGCCUCUCUAAUGUCUAAAUGAAUUUAUGAUGAUAAGUUUUUCAUUACUAAUCCUAAAAUAGUACAUCUAGCUAAUUAUUUUUGCUAUAUCUCUAUCCUUCUUAUGCCUAUGUCCGCCAUGACUAAACACUUUGUGUACUAGUGGAACAAAUAUACAUGACGAGUUCAAUUUCAAUUGGUGUUUUUUAUCUUGAACUGGAUAGAUGAAUCCACUUAUAAAGGUGA